AUUGAACGCUGGCGGCAUGCCUUACACAUGCAAGUCGAACGGCAGCACGGGUGCUUGCACCUGGUGGCGAGUGGCGAACGGGUGAGUAAUACAUCGGAACGUACCUUAUCGUGGGGGAUAACGCAGCGAGAGCUGUGCUAAUACCGCAUACGCCCUGAGGGGGAACGCGGGGGAUCGAAAGACCUCGCGCGAUUAGAGCGGCCGAUGCCUGAUUAGCUUGUUGGUGGGGUAAAAGCCCACCAAGGCGACGAUCAGUAGCUGGUCUGAGAGGACGAUCAGCCACACUGGGACUGAGACACGGCCCAGACUCCUACGGGAGGCAGCAGUGGGGAAUUUUGGGCAAUGGGGGCAACCCUGAUCCAGCAAUGCCGCGUGAGUGAAGAAGGCCUUCGGGUUGUAAAGCUCUUUUGUCAGGGAAGAAACACCGGCUCUAACACAGUCCGGGAAUGACGGUACCUGAAGAAUAAGCACCGGCUAACUACGUGCCAGCAGCCGCCGUAA
rnacentral:rRNA from 1 species